rnacentral:rRNA from 1 species
UGGGGAAUAUUGGACAAUGGGCGCAAGCCUGAUCCAGCCAUGCCGCGUGUGUGAAGAAGGCCUUGUGGUUGUAAAGCACUUUAAGCGAGGAGGAGGCUACUUGGAUUAAUACUCUAGGAUAGUGGACGUUACUCGCAGAAUAAGCACCGGCUAACUCUGUGCCAGCAGCCGCGGUAAUACAGAGGGUGCGAGCGUUAAUCGGAUUUACUGGGCGUAAAGCGUGCGUAGGCGGCUUCUUAAGUCGGAUGUGAAAUCCCUGAGCUUAACUUAGGAAUUGCAUUCGAUACUGGGAAGCUAGAGUAUGGGGGAGGAUGGUAGAAUUCCAGGUGUAGCGGUGAAAUGCGUAGAGAUCUGGAGGAAUACCGAUGGCGAAGGCAGCCAUCUGGCCUAAUACUGACGCUGAGGUACGAAAGCAUGGGGAGCAAACAGG